CAGCAAAUCAAGGGAUAUUUUCGUUUUACGCUAUCUGAGCAUUAUGCAUUUAUUUUUUCCCUGUUAGCUAGCCGAUGUAAUUUUGCACAAUAAAUCGAGGGUUUUUCGUUUAAAACAGUCCAGUAGUGUUAAUAGUAGACCAAUAACGAUGAUUUGUAAUCAUUUUUGAAUUCUUAAUGAAAAUCGAACAUUUAUUACUCAUAAUAGUGGAGAUCUUAAUAAAUAUAACAAAUUUU